AUUGAACGCUGGCGGCAUGCCUUACACAUGCAAGUAGAACGGUAACAGGUCUUCGGAUGCUGACGAGUGGCGAACGGGUGAGUAAUACAUCGGAACGUGCCCGAUCGUGGGGGAUAACGAGGCGAAAGCUUUGCUAAUACCGCAUACGAUCUACGGAUGAAAGCGGGGGAUCUUCGGACCUCGCGCGGACGGAGCGGCCGAUGGCAGAUUAGGUAGUUGGUGGGAUAAAAGCUUACCAAGCCGACGAUCUGUAGCUGGUCUGAGAGGAUGAUCAGCCACACUGGGACUGAGACACGGCCCAGACUCCUACGGGAGGCAGCAGUGGGGAAUUUUGGACAAUGGGCGAAAGCCUGAUCCAGCCAUGCCGCGUGCAGGAUGAAGGCCUUUGGGUUGUAAACUGCUUUUGUACGGAACGAAAAGCCUCUUUCUAAUAAAGAGGGGUCAUGACGGUACCGUAAGAAUAAGCACCGGCUAACUACGUG
rnacentral:rRNA from 1 species